AGGCCGCGGCACGCAGGAGGUCGCCUCGCUGUGUGUCGUCUUCGCGCCACGCUCCGGCAGCCCCCRAGAAACAGCUGGCUUUGAACUGGUGGAUUUUGGAUGGGAGCUGAAUCAUCUGUUUAAAAUGCAUCCUUUUAAAUGGGAAAUGGCUUCCUCACUGUGUCCAGGCUCUGAGCUCCUGACUUUGUUGCUGUUUCUUCAGGAGACGUUAUAGCUGGUACACAYGUCCACCCACCCACCCACGUCUGUGCACACACAGCCCGGCAGGCAAGAAACCCAGCCCCGAACAUACAGCUGGGAUGAGCCAGGGCGCUGCUACCUGCCCUACUGCAGCCCCCGUGACAUGGUCCAUUACUUACACGGCUCUGCACGGAGGUCUGAGCUGCAAACAUGGGCUUUGGAGCCAAAGGAGGAGUGGUACCAUUUUACCAUCCAUUGCACCAAUCCAUCAAUCCCAAAAGAAAGUUCCUGGAGGAACAGGGAUGAACAGGAGGAAAUGUCCUCUUCCUGGACAUUUAAUGUUCUGCGACACCAGCUACGAGGUCGAAAGCAAACAAAUAUCCCUCUCAGGAGGCUCCAAGCUCUAGGCUGGGACCUGAGAACAGUGUGUUUGGAGAGCCUGAUUAUGCACUGGGGAGAUGAAGGAUAACAUGGACCGAGAAGAGUCUGGCUGAAAGCUCAUGGACUGGGGCCAAAGCCCUUUGCGAUUUUCUGCUCCAGGCACUAAAAGUAUAUUCCCGGAGCUGCCGUGAAACUCUGCAGAGACCUGUGGGGAAGAGGCACCGUUUUGCCUUACAGGACAAGGAAGAUGAAGGGGGUAACGUGGUGGGCCUGCCUGCAGCAGAGCUUCAUAAGUCUCCCAGCUAUAUGCAAGUGGAAGGAGAAGCAAACUCCUGAGCCGGAGCACCGUCCCCUUGGGUUGGCUCUCCAAACACAGGCAGAAAAUUUCCACAGGGGUUGAGAAGUUUGGCAUUUUAAUUUCUCUGUUUCGCUUUGUUCUGAGUAAAAAUAAACACUGCAGAUGUUGAUUGCUCUGGAUCCCU
rnacentral:lncRNA from 1 species